rnacentral:lncRNA from 10 species
GUGAUUUCUUAGGACUUUAAUAGUAUAGCUGAUGUUAGGUCAUUAAUGAGGGCAGAUUUAAAAUGGAAGCCUGAGAAUGUGAUUUUAAGUGUAUUUUUUCUCCUCUAUAUAAGAGUUGUAAAAUGGAAAUCUAUCAAUUACCUGCUUAAGAAUCUCUCGUAGCUUCCUUUUGCCUAGCAUAUAAAAUCUGAACUGAAUCUUUUAUUCAAUAACUGACAUCAAUGUUUUCUUCUUUUCUCAUUCUUCUUAAUACUUUUUCAGCUCAAGUCAGACUAUUUUCAAGUCUGGAUUUUUUUUUCAGCCCUACCUUUGUAUUGUCAUCCAUAUUGUCUGUCUGCCUGAACCUCUUUAUUUUUCUAUCAACCCCUAUUUUUCUCCAUCUUAAAGCUCUAAUUCGUAGCCCUGCUCUAGGAGGCCCUCCAUGAUUGAUACUAACUGUGGCUGUUGUUUGGUUCUUGGCUUGGUUGGUUUUUAUUACUCUGGGCCCCCUCUUCUAGCUCUUUUAUUAAUACCUCAGAGAAUAGUUUGCAAAAACUAUGGCAACUUUACUAAUAUUUAGCUUUCAUCAUGGACUUAAUGGCAAAUGAGUGACAAACUUGUCUCCCUUGACAGUAGGCAUGAUUUCUGCUGCCUAUUGAAUUUCAAUGCUAUUGUGUUCUAUUUAAAAUUACUAAAACUCUCAUUUAUCUAUGAAGCCCUUAGCCCCACAGAUCUGCCUCAUGUGCUCAGUUUGUCUGUUUUAUAGUGUCUGUGCUCCUCAGGAGUCUAGAUAUUUUGGCCUGUGAAAACUUUCUCCCCUAGGGGUUUUGAUGACACCAUUUUAUGGUGAGGUGUCUCCUCUGGUAAGUUCUGAAUAUGGUGACACAUACAUUUAUUAAAUUAAUUUUUAAAAUUAGAAAUACAUAAACAUGUUAAAAAUCUCAACUGUUGUAUAGUGAAAUGCAAUCUUCCUUCCUCUUCUUCCUCCAGUCUCCUAGUUUCCCCGUCCAGAAGCAGUUACAGUUGUGUGCCACCUUCUAGAAAAAUUCACUGCAUAUACAAGAGAGGGGGAGAAAGCUAUGGAUUUUACUGGUUCACUUAAUAUAUUUGGAGCUUGUGUCCUAUCACUCAUAUUUUUAAGGACAUAUAGGAUUCCACUUUUUGAAUGUACCUUAAUUUCUUUAACCAGUUCUGUACUGAUGGGCAUUUAUCAUAUUAUCACUUUUCAUUCUUAUAAGCAGUACGUAUACAGUUUUGAAAAUGUAGAUGAUAUCUGUUGCAUAGACUACUAAAAAUAAAGUUGCUCAGCCAAAGGGAAGCACAUUUUAAAUUUUUAUGAAUUUGGGUAAAUUUCCCUUCAAUGAAGUUGCAUCAAUUUCCAUUCCCACCAAGAAUAUGUGACAGCUGUAUCUGGCAAACAUAUGUAUUUCCCUGGAACUUUGAUCUAUUUGAAAGAAGACUAGGAACACAUUUACAGUACUGUUACCAACAUCUUCUUCACUUUUGAUUUUUCUGUAAUUCUCCCUGCCAAAAUUUAACAGAACGCUGUCAUUUUCCUGACUCAUCGUCCUUUUAUUUCCACUUUGUAAAAAUGUCUGUGUUUGGUUUUAUGUUUUUAGGGGUGGCAUAGAAUCUUCCACCAGAACCCUGGAAGUGUAGGUCAGGAUGUUAGAAAUUCUUCUAAUAAAUAGUGUCCAGGAAACACUUCAUUAGAGUAAUUCUCUGGCACAGGGAGUCCUGGGUGGUGGCUCUUGUGACAAGCCCCUUUACCUAUGGUAUGUUGGAAAUUUAACCACAACCUUAGGGCAUGCAAUGAUUGUCUUUCCUUUAGGUGUUUAACUCAUAUAAUGUCUUAAAGAUAAAUGGCACCAGUAAUAUUUUAACAAUGUUCGGGUAUCCUUUGUUUCCAUAGUUACCUGGGUUUCUGUUAGCUUAAGACUUUAGAUGUGUAGCUUCAAACUCUGGGUUCUUCUUCAACUAGGUCAAGAGUUCACACAUUUUUCCACCCACUGGGCAGGCAAACCAAGUUGUAAUUGUUGCUUAUGAAGAGGAUCCUCAAAUGGUACAACACUCAAUUAGGUUAGAUUAAAUUCAGAGCAAUAAAAUAUUUCUGAGUAUGUUCUCAGAGAAACCCACAUCUUAGUUUUCCUUAUCUGAGAUCAUCUUUACCAGUUAAGAGGGCACACUUCAAAUAAUACAAACAUUCUUUAUAAAUUCAUUAUUUCCUAAAUCCCUUCCUAGUUUCAGUUUUGAUGAGCUCUUUUCAUAACUCUAGGUACUUUAGAUAUGCUUCUCUCAGCCUCGAUUUGGCUUUUAGGCUAAAGGGUUUUCCUAAUCACAGCAAGUGGGUCAAAAAUUAGGAUAGGCUUCCCAUGAAAGACUAAGUACAAUAAUUGAACAAAAGGGGUGAAAGUUGAUUAAAGUGAUGCGAGGAGUAAAUGGAUUCACUUUUACAGGAUCUUCUGAAAUCUGAGAUAAAGGACUGACUCCUUGGCUAAUCUCAGUGCAAUUACCUACUCAUGGAGAUCAAUACUUUUUUACUAUUAAAAAAUAGUGAAAAUUUUUAAGAUUGGUUAAGGAAGAGUAAUGUGUUAUUAGGGGAGGCAAGGAAAACUUAGAUCUAAUUUAGAUUUCUAUGAAAACAGUGGGCAUCAAUAGGAGAACAUAAAAAAGAGACGUGAGUAUUAGGAAAAUACCAAAAGGUUUGGUUAGAAACAAAUCCUCUUGUGAUAGGAGAUAAGACUGAAGACCAAACAGAAAUUAUAACUGCAUAGAUCUUGGUUUUAUUCAUUCAUUUGCUCAUUCAGCCUGUUCACUGGCUCCAACAUAGCUCUUGAUUCUAUCCCAUGUGACAUAUUCAUUGACCAACCAUGUGUUUUGGACAGAUCAGCAGCUAGAGAUCCAAAAACGACUGGUUAGAUGGAAUGUCUUAGGAAAUAGUGUCAUCAGUGGUGUACAAAAUGGUAUUAAACUUUCCCUGGAUGAUGGAUUAAAGAGAGAACAAAUUAAAGGCAUAGAUAUAGCCAUCUGCUAAUCAGGGUUUCACAAGGCAUCUGUACCUUAGGCCAUUCCUUUUGGGAUUUCCACUUGCAAAAAAUAUAGUGAAAUAAAACUUAAACUGAAUAGAAGAAAGAAUUUCUUAGACUCAUUCACAUUCAAUCAAUGUUUACUGAGUGCCUAAUAUGUGCCAAAUAUUAUACUAAAAUGCCGAGGAUACAGCAGAGGGACAAAAAUUCCCUGCAUUUGUGGUGCUUACAUUUUACUGAUACAGUUAAUGAAGAUCAUAAAAAUUUUAAACACUGGAGCAGUGAAGUGAGAUUAGGAAUCCCUGUGCCUUUAAAGAUUGAGAGACUAUCAUUUCCUUGGAAAGAAUUAUGUAUUAUCUUGCAUGUAUGUGUGAAGGCAAAUGAGUAAAGGAAAUGCUUCUUCAGCAACCUCUUUCAAUUCUCUAAAGUUAUUUUCAUUACCUAAAUAUUAAAGAGUGAGAAGGACUUGAGGGGAAAAAAAAUAAAGCUUUUUUUUUGUUGUUUUUUUGAGACAGGGUCUCACACUGUCACCAAGGCUGGAGUGCAGUGGUGCAAUCUCAGCUCACUGCAGCCUUGAUGUCCUGGGCUCAAUCAAUCCUCCCUCCUCAGCCUCCAGAGUAGCUGGGACCACAGGCAUGCGCCACCGUGCCUAGUUAAUUAUAAAACUUUUUUUAGAGAUGGAGUUUUGCUGUGUUUCCUAGGCUGGUCUCAAAUUCCUGUGCUCAAGUGAUAUGCCCACCUCAGGCUCCCAAAGUGCUGGGAUGACAGGCGCGAGCCACUGCACCUGGCCAAAAUAAAGCUUGACCUGAGUUGAUAUGAGGGUGAUGAGACUGAGUAAAAAGCCCAUAGGAUUCCAGCCUGUGUUCAUAAGAAGAAGCAUUUUAAUGGAGAGACUUUUUGUGAUGCGUGUACAGAGGACAUUAUUAGUGAAAUAACAGCAAACUUGCUAUUAAUGAGAUCUGCUCAAAAUCUCUAUGAGGUAGUGAAUGCCCCAUCAUGAAGAUUUUCAUGCAGAAUUGGGAUGACCUCUGUUCUUCAGCCUGCCAGGGGAGCGAGGUGUUAAAUCUCAUGAGAUUCUUUUACCAAGUCCAAGUUUUAAAUAAAUGAAACUUGUACAGACUCCAACAUACCAUCUUGAGAUAACCUCAGGCCCUGAAGUGUAUCGACAAGCAGAAUGAUCUCAGCCAAGUUGUAAAACUGUCUUUGAAAAGAAUAGCUGGAUGAAAAACAUUAGCAGCAACUGAAUCAAGAGAAAACGUGACUUCAAACUGAAAGGCACUCUCAUGGUAAAUACAUAGUAAAACCAUGUUCUGCAACUUCAUAUUUUCGUAAUGCUUUAAGCUACCCAAGGAGCCCAUGCAGAUAUGCAAAGCUACUCAUUGAGAAGCUCAGCUUAUCCCUACAUAUGCCAUCACCAGUUUUUCACUUAACGUUUUCUCCUCAACCCCUUUCUAUUUGGCUUCCAUUCUACUACUCACCAACCACCUUCAGUUUGCAAAAUCCUAUGCAGAUCUUACCUUAACUUUUCAGCAUCAUUCAGUAAGGUUAAAAACUUUUCCUUCUAGAUGGUUUUGGUGGCACCAGAGUCUUCUUGUUUUCUUCUUUCUUUUUUAGCUGCACUUUCUCAGUAGUAUUUGCUGGCUCUCCUUCCUUUACUCCAACUCUUACUGUUGUAGUUUCACUGAUCUUGGAUUGAGUUCCUCCCUUUGUUUUCCUAUUUAUACUCUCUGACUAAGGUUCAAAAUUGUCUUUAUCUGUUGUAAAAUCUGUGUUUCAAGACUAGAACUUCUCCUCUAAAUCCCAUCUAUCUGAUGACUGAUAGAUUUCAGACUGAACAUGCUUAGAAUAAAAUGCUUAGCCAUGGCUGUUCCCUGCUCCCUGGCCACAGUUGCCAUACACCUUCAUCCUUCCUCAGUUUUCUCAUGGUAAAUGUUACCAUCAUCCACUCAGUUAAUAAUACCUGAAACCAGGGAAAUGGUCCUGAAAUUAGUCCUUUUUUAAAUAUCACCUUCACAUGUAGCCAAUCAGCAAUUCCUACAAUUUAUAUUCCAGAAUAUAUGUCAAGUCCAUCUACUUUUUCCACCUCCACCGCUGUCACCUAGCUCAAGCCACCAUCAUCCUUCACCUAUUCUAUUGCAGUAGCCUCCUAGAAGGUCUCCUAGCUUCCUUUAUUAGCCCUGUACAAGCCAUUCUCUGCAUGGCAGCAGAAUAAUCUUUUAAAAACUGAAAUCAUACCAAUUACUCCUUACCCAAAAGUAUUGAAGGGUUCCUGUUGCAUGUUGAACAAAAUCUACACUCCUUAUCAUGGCCUAUGGAGUGCUUCAUGUUCCCAACCUUGGCAAUGUUUUUUAACAUGCUACCAGUUCUUUCUGUUUCUUACUAAGUCCAGCUCACAUUGACCUAACACACUAACCUCUUUCCUGUCUCAGGCCCUUUGCCCUUGCUGUUACCUCUCUUAGAACAUCCUUUGUUGCUUUGCAUAGCCCAUUCCUCCUCAUUCUUCAUUUCUCAGCUUAAAUGCCACUUCAUCAGAGACGCCUUUUUCAAAAACUUUACCUAAGUUUUUAUUUGUUUUUCUUUUUUCCUGAGCUGAUAGGAAGACAACUCUGUUAUCUUUAGGAUUUCAGAUGCUUUUAGAAUCAAACCUGGAAAGGAUACAAAAAGCAGAAGCAAAACCAACAUUUGGGAGAAGAACAGAUUAAGACAGUAGCUUAUAUUGAAACAUCACUUCUCAUUUGCUGUUUGGACAAUGGUGAUGGAACUGCUGCUUUAUUGCCCACGGAGAAGCGAAGUGAAGAGUCUAAAGUGGGUCUUGCAGUUACACUGGACAAAAGAAGUUUGAAACUGAGGCUUGGUCCUGAAGAAAACAUAGAGAAGCCUGACAGAUUAUAUAUAUUCACAGCUUUGACUUAAAGGUUGCUGGUUGACCAAUAAGUAAUACAAGAAGAAAUGGUCUUUUCUGGAAUUGUCCUUCUUUCCAGGUAUCAAUGGUGAGCAGAAGAGGAGCAGGGAAUGAUGAAAGACCACACAUUCUCCAAAAGUCACUAAGCACUGUCUGCAGAUGGAACAUUCAUAUUUUCACAUAGUAUAAGUCAUAUGAUCUUUGAUCCUCCAUGUAUUGCUAUCCAGCCAUUUACUUUAGAAUGUCAGCCUUUAUACUGAUAUCACACACAUGUUGUAAAAUGUAGUGAAGAUAAACGGGUGAAGUUAAACUUACAAUGCUUUUGCUGUUAUCCAUAAAAAUGCAAUAGGUAUUGCAUAGAAUUAGUUACAAGCACAAAACUGUGAUACCCUAUAUGCCCCUGUUACAAGAAAGUUGUCAUUUUACAUUAUGGGUAUUUAUUCGAUAUUUUCAUAGUUUAAUUACUAACAAAGCAUUAAUAAUGCCAGAUUGUGCUGACAAACAUUGCAGUCUCUGAAUAGGAGAAAGAAUAUAUUCUUUGCACCAUUAUACAAUGAUUUAGAACUUUAAUAGUGUGCUGGGGAAAAAACAUGUAUCUGUAACCUGAAAUAGUUGUUUUACCUCCCUGAGUACAAAAUAUGUCACACAUUCUCUCCUAAAUGUAUUCUCUAUUUUUACCAGUCAUUUUGUUGCUAAAAUGUAAGAUAUGGGGAUGGGAUGUGGGUGAUUGUCUCCGUCCUUUUGGGCUUCUAUAACUAAAAUACCUUAGACUGGGUAAUUUAUAAACAACAGGAAUUUAUUUCUCACAGUUCUGGGGGCUGGAAAGUCCAAGAUCAAGGCUGUGGUGGGGUUUGGCUGGCGAGGGCUCCAUCCUUCUUGCUAUAUCUUCACAUGGUGGAAGGAGCAAACAAACUCCCCCAGCCCUCUUUUACAAGGGCACUAAUAUUAUUUGUGAGGGCUCCACUCUCAUGACUUAAUCACCUCCCCAAAGACCCUACUUCUUAAUACUAACACAUUGGGGAUUAAUCUUCAACAUAUGAAUUUUGGAGGAACACAAACAUUCAGACCAUAGCAAUGUUUAUUGGGGUGAAUGCUCAUUUAACUUUUCCCAGAACAAUCCCUGUUAAGUCUGCUAACCUCCUGUAGUUAAUGAUAAAAUUUCCUUCAUUUUCCGAAGUGUUCUUGUUUGGAUUAUAAAUUAUGUAAUUACCCUAAUGACAAUUAACUAGACAUUUUUUUUCUUACUGUAUAGCACCAGUAUGGGCAAUUGCAGUGGCUUUCAAACUUGACUACAACUCAGGGAGAAAUACAUUUUUCAUCAUAACGUAGUACACACACACACACACACACACACACACACACACGCACACACACACACACAUACACUAGAUAAAGCAAAAGCUUUAGGAAAUGGUACUUGGAUAUUUUCAAAUAUAUUUUAGUCUGUUUUUUAAUUAAAAAUCUCUAGUCAUGAUACAUUAAAUUGACUUAUUGACCCACAGCUUGAAAAAACACCAAUAUUUUGGAUGUGUUUUAAGGUCAUAGAACACGCCUUCUGAUUUUUUUCCUUCCCUAGGUAAUCCUAUGCAAGUUGCCAAUCUUCUCUAAACAACACUCUUCUUCAUCUAUAAAGUAAAUAUUAAUACCUACCUGAAGGUGGCAGAGAGAGUUAACUGAGAUAAUUUGGUUAAUGAGCCUGAAAUCUAGUCAACACUUACUAAAGGUAAUUUCUUCUCCUCUCUUCCGCUUCUAAACCAACAGGACACAGCUGAAGUUCACAGGUUUGUAAAAGUGAAAAAAUAUUUUUCUUAACCCCCUGACCUCUAAAGUUUGGUCAGAGUGUUUAGCCACUGAUAAAACAUCUUUAAGCACUGUUACUUCUAUGUUCAACUAAAAGAGUCACUUUUCAGUAAUUUCCGGUCAAGCCCAUCACAAUAGCACUUGCAGCUUCUCAAAAGAAAAGAAAGAAAGAGAGAGAAAGAAAGGAAGAAAGAGAAUUGAAGGAGGAAAGAAGGAAAAAAAUCAUGAUGAAGAUUUUAAAACAUGUCUUAUUGAGGGAUGGGAUGGUGAGGAAGUUGAUUAUAGUGAUGGAUGUGACAGACAGGGCCCGUACUUCUGUUUCUGUUCUCAAACUAACAGUUUUCACACAUAACCGUUUUCACACAUAACACAUUAGUAGAAUUUCUUUUGAAUAUUUGCCUUGGAAAUAAAACAAUAAUAAUAUAGCAUUUAUUAUAUUUAUUAUAUAUAGAGUGUGUGUGUGUGUGUGUCUGUGUGUGUGUGUAUCCCACAUGUCCACAUGAGAAAUAAUGAAAGAAGAUGGAGCCCAAGUAAGAGAGUCCUGAUGCCCCAUAAUGCAGAGAGACAAAGAAGUGAUGAAAUCAAGUACUCUACCUCUGGGCCGCCAGAAUCCAGGCCUGGUUCCAGAGUCCUCUGGUUUUCACCGUGUUGGGGUGGGGCCUCCCCGGGUGCACAGCUUUUCUGCACUGGUUGGCAUCUACUGAACCUUAGGUGAUCACAGCAGUGGUAAAGACAAGCCAGCUUCCGUCUUUCCAUAGUUUGUUCCCCUGUACUUCAGGAGGGAGGGGAGCCCCUCUAUGGAAUGCAAUACACACUAGGCAUCCUAUCACUAUGUAAGAACUCAUCUUGCUCCCUCAUUUCACAUUACAUCUUUGACUGUCUUGCUCAGUUGUUUCACCUUGGCUAGUUUUUACUCUUUGGCGAGUACUCUCACAACUCUCUUGUAGGCAGGAGCCCAUUUUCUUUUUCUGAGUACUCUGGACUCCUUGCAUGGUGCUUCCUGGGCAAGGGGUGCUCAACAAAUUGUGCUGAUAAUUAAGUCAUUCACUCAAAAUAUAUUUAUUAAGCACCUAGUGACCAAGACAGAAAAAAGUUACUAUUGACCUUCAAAUCACCAAAUCUAAUGAUCAUUCCUUACUGCUCAUCUUCCUCCACCAUUGCUACCUUAGAGGCCUCCCGUGCCUGCCUCCAUUUCCCAGACUUACUGCUUGAUUCUCCCUGGCAAGCUUUCCCUUCACCAUUUUUUUUUCAGCACUUGUAAGGAACUGAAUCUGUCCCCAAUAGUACACAGUUUGAGUUAGAGCCAGGACUAGAACUCAGGCCUGCAUAUAAUCAAAGAUCAGAAAACGGCCAAAUCUUGGUGUUUCUAUUCACAGGGAGGAAACCCAGAUGGGCCUACUCACAAUACAUGCUUCCAAAUGAAAGAACGUUUUUCCCCCUAAGGACAUUGUUAGGACACUGUCUAGCUAGAAGAUAUUCAGAGAAAAUUCACUCCUUUACCUGCCCUAGGGAAAUGGGAAAAUUCAAUGUUUGAGCCAUUUACCCAAAAGAGUAAUCCAUGCUGGAAAUUUUGCUGAAAGUAUUCUUUUAAAAGGCCCUUCUGUCUUUAUUAUGACGAUAAGACUGCUGAGUCUGCCCAAGCAUAUGAGGUUGCAAAGAAUAUUUCUUUUUAUUCAGACCUUGUAUUCUCUACAUGAUGAAAGGAUUCUUGGCACAUAGUUGGCAAUUACUAUCUAGGUUUUCUGCAUAACAUAGGUUUUUUAAACUAAGCUUUUAACUCAAUAGACAUCAGGCUCCAAUGAAAAUACAUGUGGCCUAACACGAGCAGAAAUAAACACAAUUCUAAUCAACUUAACUGUUGACAAAAGCAUGUGGUUUCAUUGCUUGCGGCCAAAGUUGUAAGAGUGGACUCUGAUUUCUUGCAGGAACACCCCUCAUUUAUGUGUGCAAAUAGGGUAAUUAAGUGUCCAAUUACCAGAUUUGCAUUGGCAAAUGGGGGCUUUGUGUGGGUAAAAUUCUCCAUGGUUUGGGACCAGCUGAAACUUAGGUCUUUUCUUUUUGGAUCAAUCCCCCAACAAUAACACGGGCAUGAUGAAGUUCCCUUCUUGUCCUGAUCUGAAGCCAUGGCUGAAGACUUCCCUUAUUUUGGUAAUUCAGUGAAGCGGAGAGCCAAAGUUAGGAUCUGGGGCCUUUUCUUCCUUACUGUCUACUCUGAAAAAUAAUUAAGCAUUUCAAGUAUUUUCAGACUGACUUUUUUUUUUUCCUGCUGGCUCUGUAGAAUUGAUUACUAAGGUGAAAUACUUGUAAAUAUUCCUUUUAAAAAUUUAACCAUAUGGAAGCAUUAAGUUGAAAGACACUUCAUAAAACAACUUUAUUCUUUUCU